CCUCCCGUCCCACUCGCCUCCCCCUCCUCGUCGCCCUCCUCUCUCUUUCUCUCUCGCUAACCCCUCUCUCUCCCCAUCGCGCCGGCCGGUUCCGGUCAGCUCUGGCCCGCGCGUCUCCCCCGCGACCCCCGCCUCCUCUCCUGCCGCCGCCGCCGGAGAAGCUCGCCGCCGAUGCCGGUGACCUAGCCCGCGCAUCUUCCCCGCGACCCCCGCCUCCUCUCCUGCCGCCGCCGCCGCCGGAGAAGCUCGCCUCCGCGCCCACAAGCCUCGGAUUCGGCGGGAUCCGGGACGAGGAGGGGUGGAUGAGACGGGGGAGGAGGAGGAGGAGAGAGUGGGGGCGUCUAGGGAGGAAUAUCCCCGCCGCCUCCUCCGCUCCUGCCUCCACAAGUCAGGGGGAUGGGGCUGCUCGGGCUUAGCCUGUGGGCAGCGAUGGAGGAGAAGGGCCGGGCAGGUGCGCGCAGGCGGGAGAAGCUGGGGGCGCUCGUCGGUUGGGGAGAUGGCGACCACCUGAGCUUCUCCGAUUGACCUAGACAGGGCCACGACAGCAUAAGCAAGGGGUGGGGGCGAGCAACCCUCUGAAGCCACGCAUGUCUACAGAAGAAGAAUUUUGAGAAUGAGAUUGAUAAAGAUGAACAAGGAAGUAACGGUCAAGGAAGAAGAGUUAGAUGCUACUGAAGAUGUCGAUGUUGUCACAUAUGUACAGACCACCCGCUUUGUCACAAGCAUGGCAGCCUGCUCAACUAUCUCCACUGCCUGCAUACAGCUGUUUCAGAACAGCGCCGAUCAACCCAGAGUUCGGUUGUAGAAGAACGAAACGAAGCACACAUCAGGAAGUCAUGCUCUUUCCAACAACAACAGCAAAAGCGCAUAUAAGAGAACUUGAGGAAGAAGUGAAGCUCCUCAAGAACCUUUCACACCCCAAUAUUGUGAGGUACCUCGGGACUGUCCGUGAGGAAGACACACUGAAUAUCCUGCUGGAGUUUGUUCCUGGAGGGUCUAUCCAGUCGCUUCUUGGAAAACUCGGUUCAUUCCCGGAGGUCAAUAGGAAGUAUACUAGGCAGAUUUUGCAAGGGUUGGAAUAUCUGCAUAGCAAUGCAAUAAUACAUAGAGACAUUAAGGGUGCAAACAUUCUUGUUGAUAACAAAGGCUGCAUUAAGCUUGCCGAUUUUGGGGCAUCUAAGCAAGUUGCCAAGUUGGUAAGAUUGAUGUUCAAUAUGCUGUUAAGGUCGAGUAUAAUAGCUUGGAAGAAAUAAAACCUUCAUGUGCUUGUCAAGUGAUCAAAACAAUAAUUUACAACAGAAUAGCAAAUGCUAAACCUUUCCUGUCUAAUUAUGCCAUCAGAUUAUGGAUUCUUAUUUGUUGCUCUUGACUACCUGUGUGCAUGAAACAUGAAAGUGUGAUUUUGGUUCCAAGCAGGCUUAUGGUAAAGUUCUUUGCAGGUAUUUGCAUUAUAGUUCCUGCAUAAUCUCUUGGUAAUGAAGCGUUGUCCGGGGCGCUAUCUGGAAUACCAUCUCUUUCUAAUGAAUUUAUGUGUUAGUUGCUGCCUUCUUUCAUUAGAUAGUUCGAAUAAUAAUACAAACGUAUGGAUUUUUGUAAACUGGUAUAUGAUUCAAUGUUAUAUAUUUUGUAAACUGGUAUAUGGUUACCAGAGUCACCUUGCAUAAUUUUUUAAAGGAAGAGUGAACGCAGUCCUGAACUUGCACUAAUAUAUUGUGAUGCUCCUACUUUUUGCAGAACAAUGCAGUAAUGAUAAGAACUAGAAUUAGACUGCAUUGCAUAUAUGUAUAGGUUACCACUUCUUCACUGUAAUUAUUUGCCAUGUAAAAGCCAACUCACAUGUCAAAAUAUGCUCUGAAGAUCAGUUUCUUACAAUUUGUAAUAGUGAAACUCUUGCUUCUUUGCCCAUAAUAGAAAAUACACCAAUUUUUUUAUCACCUUAACUUGUCGAUGGCAUACCAUCCUAUCACAAACCCUCAAUAAUGUCUAAGUCUUUUUUUACCAGCUCUGAGAUAUUACAUAGUGAUGUCCCACAAUUAAGAUUAUUACUGUGAAAAAGAACUAACCUCAUGUACUUUGGUACAGCCUUCACAUAAGAAGCUGUACACUAGAGGGAAGAACAUGAUGUGUGUGUGUGUGUGUGGGGGGGGGGGGGGGUAAAACCCCUGGGUAUGCAUUCUUCACUUGAACAUAUUCAAUAAUUUAUCCCAAUACUCUCUUUCUAUUUUUGUCUUUUGAGGGAAUCUAAGAUUUGAUGUAAAUCGGUUUUGCCUUUCAUUUCUUCGUAAAAAUUAUUUUUUGUACUAUAAUUAUUUAAUGUGGUGCAUCUCUUCUAAUAAUCUUAGCCGACCUGGUUUACUUGUUUUGAUACGAUUGUUCCAUGGAAUCCCAGGGUCUGAUGAAGCAAGGUGCAGGACACCUCAGAACCGCCUAUGUUUGUGACAGUGCACUGGGCUCAAGCGACAAUGAGCAGGUGGGAGGAUCGUUCAGCUGACCAAGUGCAGUAUGACGGUGAUCUCUGAACAGUUGCAUGGAGGCUAAUAACAUGUUAGCUCCUUGUAAUAUCUUGGUUGAUGCCAUCUGUCAGAUUUAGCCCACCGAGUCCCUAUUUUGCAUUUACUUUGCUUCUCUAAUGUUCUCUUCGUACUGCAAGGAAGACGCGAGGGUUAGUUGCAUUCCUGCUGCCUUGCUUGAGAUGAAUCCAUUUGGUUCUUUUGCCUUUCAAUUCUGUAACACACCAUCGUAUCUAUUGGUAGGUGUCAUCCUGCUUCUCCUUGCAUGUCUAUUUGUGCGCUUGGGUUGCAGAUCAGGUUACUGACACAUGGGAUCGUACAGUUAUUCUAUGACUCAGGGCCCACCCUGGUGGUCAUUAUAUCUCUGGGUUAAGCAAGCUGAGCAGGUUAUGCAAGCUACUGUGUAAAAUGCGCAUGCAUCACUGCCUAAAAAGGGUCCAGACAGCAACGACAAGUGCUUACUAUGCUCCAUUAGAGAAGCUAAGAAGAUAAUUUAGUUUGGGUGAAUUUAUUAAUUUAUUAAUUAGCUUGAAGAAGAAAAAUAUUUCAGAACAGUGUGGUCAUAGAGUUAUGUUCAGUUUGGUGCUUUGGGUCAUUCUGGAUAAGUGAUUGGGUAGCGGUUGCUGUUUACUCGCAAGGGAUGGAUUGGUGCAAGUGAGUUUAUGAAAGCCUACUAGAACUGUUUGUGGAAGUAGUUGUAUGAACAUGUUGUGUGCAACUGAACUGAUCUGAUUGCUUAUCUUUGGAAA